rnacentral:rRNA from 1 species
AUUGAACGCUGGCGGCAGGCCUAACACAUGCAAGUCGAACGAGAGGCGGACGGGUGAGUAAGGUCUGGGAAAGGGCCUGGGGGAUGAGGACCACUACUGGAAACGGAAGCUAAUUACGCAUACAAGCGGCUGUGCCUAGUUGGGUUUAGCUAGUGGGGGGGGUAAAGGCUCACCAAGGCGACGAACCAUAGCUGGUCUGAGAGGAUGACAAGCCACACUGGAACUGAGACACGGGCCAGACGCCGACGGGAGGCAGCAGUGGGGAAUAGUGUACAAUGGGCGCAAGCCUGAUGCAGCCAUGCCGCGUGUAUGAAGAAGGUCUUCGGGUUGUAAAGUACUUUCAGUUGGGAGGCGUUACCCGCAGAAGAAGCACCGGCUAACUCCGUGCCAGCAGCCGCGGUAAUUC